rnacentral:rRNA from 1 species
AACGAACGCUGGCGGCAUGCCUAACACAUGCAAGUCGAACGAGACCUUCGGGUCUAGUGGCGCACGGGUGCGUAACGCGUGGGAACCUGCCCUUAGGUUCGGAAUAACUCCCCGAAAGGGGUGCUAAUACCGGAUAAUGUCUUCGGACCAAAGAUUUAUCGCCUUUGGAUGGGCCCGCGUUGGAUUAGCUAGUUGGUAGGGUAAAAGCCUACCAAGGCGACGAUCCAUAGCUGGUCUGAGAGGAUGAUCAGCCACACUGGGACUGAGACACGGCCCAGACGCGGACGGGAGGCAGAAGUGGGGAAUAUUGGACAAUGGGCGCAAGACUGAUAAAGCCAAACCGAGUGGGUGAAGAAGGCGUUCGGGUUGUAAAGCCAUGUUGUUGGGAAAGAAAAGCAGAAGGUUAAUACCCCGAUGUUAUGAGGGGAGCCAAAGAAGAAGAACCGGCUAAGUUCGUG